UACGGGGGGGGCAAGCGUUGUUCGGAAUUACUGGGCGUAAAGGGCUCGUAGGUGGCCAACUAAGUCAGACGUGAAAUCCCUCGGCUUAACCGGGGAACUGCGUCCGAUACUGGAUGGCUUGAGGUUGGGAGAGGGAUGCGGAAUUCCAGGUGUAGCGGUGAAAUGCGUAGAUAUCUGGAGGAACACCGGUGGCGAAGGCGGCAUCCUGGACCAAUUCUGACGCUGAGUGAGCGAAAGCCAGGGGAGCAAACGGG
rnacentral:rRNA from 1 species